CCCUUAGAUGUCCUGGGCCGCACGCGCGCUACACUGAGUGUCUGAGAUACGAGUCUGCCUGGUCCGGCAAGGUCUAGGUAAUCGCUAAAAGACACAUCAUGCUUGGGAUAGAUUAUUGCAAAUAUUAAUCUUGAACGAGGAAUUCCUAGUAAGCGCAAGUCAACAGCUUGCGUUGAUUACGUCCCUGCCCUUUGUACACACCGCCCGUCGCUACUACUGAUUGGAUGUUUAAGCGAGGUUCUCGAACUGCUAGCGACUUAGCUUCGGUGAGGUCGCAGUGUGGGAAGUUAACCUAGCUUUGGUGUCUAGAGGAAGUAAAAGUCGUAACA
rnacentral:rRNA from 1 species